UAUUCUGGUGUCCUAGGCGUAGAGGAACCACACCAACCCUCGAACUUGGUAGUUAAACUUUAUUGCGGUGACGAUACUGUAGGGUAGGCCCUUCGGAACAAUAGGCUCGACGCCAGGAU
rnacentral:rRNA from 1 species